UUAAUUGUCUGAUACCAAUUCUCAAAUGUUGUUUUGAUAUUCGAAAAGGACCGCCAUCUUUAUUUUUAGGUGUUUUUUAUUUUUAAGAAAAUUUAUGAAAAUUGAAAACUAUCAUUUAAAAAUUAUAUACUUAAAUAUCCAGAGUAUGAGGCAGGAAAGUAUGCGCGAGUGAAGUAGAAACAGCAAAUUUGCAGCCAACCUUAAAAUAAAGAGCAUAUUGCCGUAAAAAACAUAAAAGACAACAUCAGACUCGUAGAAUUACAACUACAAGAGACCCUAAUGUUAGAAGACUCUGUAUACAAUUUAAUCGAACACUAAAGGCCAGGCAUAAAACUUGUUUCUUACGACCUGACAUUGGACCCUGUCGUGCAGAUAUAAUACAAUGGUACUACGAUGUCAGACAGAGUGCAUGUUACCAAUUCUUCUGGGGCGGAUGCCAGGGCAAUGGAAAUAGUUAAAAUACCAUACUUUUGUUCACUGGCAUUUGACUAUGGUAGCUGUUUUGGGUAUUAUAAUCGUUGGGCAUGGGACACACUUUCUAAAACCUGCAGACAGCAUCUCUACUCAGGCUGUGGAGGUAAUCAAAACAACUUUCAC